rnacentral:rRNA from 1 species
UGGGGAAUAUUGCACAAUGGAGGGAACUCUGAUGCAGCGACGCCGCGUGAACGAAGAAGGCUUUCGAGUCGUAAGGUUCUUUUAUAUGGAAAGAUAAUGACGGUACCAUAAGAAAAAGCCCCGGCUAACUACGUGCCAGCAGCCGCGGUAAUACGUAGGGGGCUAGCGUUGUCCGGAAUCACUGGGCGUAAAGGGUUCGCAGGCGGAAAUGCAAGUCAGGUGUAAAAGGCAGUAGCUUAACUACUGUAAGCAUUUGAAACUGCAUAUCUUGAGAAGAGUAGAGGUAAGUGGAAUUUUUAGUGUAGCGGUGAAAUGCGUAGAUAUUAAAAAGAAUACCGGUGGCGAAGGCGACUUACUGGGCUCAUUCUGACGCUGAGGAACGAAAGCGUGGGUAGCAAACAGG